UUACGGCCAUAUCACGUUAAAACACCGGUUCUCGUACAAUCGCCGAAGUUAAGCAAAUUCGAGUACCUAGAUGGGUAACCGCUCGAGAAUACUAGGUGCUGUG